GAAAACAGCAAUUUCUUGUAAUUUUUGCAUUGCAUUUUGGGAAAAAGAAUGUGAGACCACAUGCUUGGAAGGAGAGCGGAGUAAGAAGACAAAUUUCCACCCAACUCCAUCCUAACAACAAACAGGAAUCCGUCACAGCAACUGAUAUGGAGAGAACCCUCCCACUUCCCACAACUCCUCGGCUGAUACUCCAUGGCGGGACAUAGGGAUCAACCCUGAGCGGGGCACAAAGGCUGUACAGGGCAAAGGGAAGGUCAAAAAGAGCUCUGGCAGACCUCCGGUCUCAAGUCUCCUAAAAAGACUAAUGG